rnacentral:snRNA from 1 species
AUCGCUUCUCGGCCUUUUGGCUAAGAUCAAGUGUAGUAACUUCAUGACACACCCUAAAAUACUUCAUUCCUAUAUUUUUUGUCUGCAUACUCUUUGAUCAUCUCUUCUUAUGGCAGUGCUUUUGCAAUAUCGUUUUUAUUGAGAAAAGCGAUAACAA